CGAUAAGGGGGGUGAAAAGCCUCCCCGCCGAAAGCCCAAGGUUUCCUAGCGCAACGUUCAUCGGCGCAGGGUGAGUCGGUCCCUAAGGCGAGGCGGAAACGCGUAGUCGAUGGGAAGCUGGUUAAUAUUCCAGCACUUUAUCGCAGUGCGAGGGGGGGACGGAGAAGGGUAGGUGUACCGGGCGUUGGUUGUCCCGGGGAAAGGAGGUAGGCAUGAGGCGUAGGCAAAUCCGCGUCUCUUUAUGCCGAGCACCGACGACGAGGCUCAUUAGAGCCAAAGUCACUGAUCCCACGCUUCCAGGAAAAGCCUCUAAGCUUCAGCUGCGAUAGAACCGUACCGUAAUCCGACACAGGUAGGCAGGGUGAGAAUCCCAAGGCGCUUGAGAGAACUCGGGUGAAGGAACUAGGCAACAUAGCACCGUAACUUCGGGAGAAGGUGCGCCCAGGAGUGUGGCUCCAUGCGGAGCUGAGCAUUCUUGGGCCGCAGUGACCAGGCCGCUGCGACUGUUUAUCAAAAACACAGCACUCUGCAAACACGAAAGUGGACGUAUAGGGUGUGACACCUGCCCGGUGCCGGAAGGUUAAUUGAUGGGGUCAGCCGCAAGGCGAAGCUCUUGAUCGAAGCCCCGGUAAACGGCGGCCGUAACAAUAACGGUCCUAAGGUAGCGAAAUUCCUUGUCGGGUAAGUUCCGACCUGCACGAAUGGUGUAACGACAGCGGCGCUGUCUCCACCCGAGACUCAGUGAAAUUGAAAUCGCUGUGAAGAUGCAGCGUUCCCGCGGCAAGACGGAAAGACCCCGUGAACCUUUACUAUAGCUUUACAUUGAACGUUGAGUUCGUCUGUGUAGGAUAGGUGGGAGGCAUUGAAGUGUGGUCGCUAGAUCGCAUGGAGCCAACCUUGAAAUACCACCCUGAUGUGCUUGACGUUCUAACCUGGGUCCGUAAUCCGGAUCGGGGACCAUGUAUGGUGGGUAGUUUGACUGGGGCGGUCUCCUCCCAAAGAGUAACGGAGGAGCUCGAAGGUACGCCCAGCGCGGUCGGACAUCGCGCACUGUGUGCAAAGGCAUAAGCGUGCUUGACUGCGAGAUCGACGGAUCAAGCAGGUACGAAAGUAGGACUUAGUGAUCCGGUGGUUCUGUAUGGAAGGGCCAUCGCUCAACGGAUAAAAGGUACUCCGGGGAUAACAGGCUGAUUCCGCCCAAGAGUUCAUAUCGACGGCGGAGUUUGGCACCUCGAUGUCGGCCCAUCACAUCCUGGGGCUGUAGCCGGUCCCAAGGGUAUGGCUGUUCGCCAUUUAAAGUGGUACGCGAGCUGGGUUCAGAACGUCGUGAGACAGUUCGGUCCCUAUCUGUCGUGGGCGUUGGAGGUUUGAGAGGGGCUGCUCCUAGUACGAGAGGACCGGAGUGGACGAAUCCCUGGUGUUCCGGUUGUCACGCCAGUGGCACUGCCGGGUAGCUAUAUUCGGAAGCGAUAACCGCUGAAAGCAUCUAAGCGGGAAGCGCGCCUCAAGAUGAGACCUCCCGAGCCAUAAGGCUCCUAAAGGAACCAUGAAGACUACGUGGUUGAUAGGGUGGGUGUGUAUCGCAGCAAUGCCGAGCUAACCACUACUAAUGAUCCGUGCGGCUUGACC
rnacentral:rRNA from 1 species